UGCUAUACUAUUCGGCCCUAGGUGAGGCUUCUUGGACACUUUGAGCCCUUGAAGACACACUCACCGUCUAAACGUAAUUAACAAGGUAAUUAACAAUAAACCAAGUUGCAAAGGAAAUAAGAGAACUCCCUUUGUUGAUCCUCUUUUGGUUAGUGCACUUCCUUGUUGUCUUUGAUUGUUGAUCUUCCAAGUGUUUGUAGUGUUUAUUUCAAGAAUGUUUGUUUCGGCUUUGACCUUGUCUUCUCCUUAGAAUGAUGGCUUUUAAUCCUCCAAUUUCCAGCACCUAGC
rnacentral:lncRNA from 1 species